CUUGGUCAUUUAGAGGAAGUAAAAGUCGUAACAAGGUCUCCGUUGGUGAACCAGCGGAGGGAUCAUUACAGAGUCUACGCACUCCCAAACCUUUGUGAACAUACCUACGUUGCUUCGGCGGUCGUGCCUGGAGCGCCCCCGUGGCGUUCCCGGGUCCGCCGCCGGGGACCUAUAUUCUUGAAUUUAUAACGGAUUUCUGAGUAACAAAACAAAAUAAAUAAAAACUUUCAGCAACGGAUCUCUUGGUUCUGGCAUCGAUGAAGAACGCAGCGAAAUGCGGUAAGUAAUGUGAAUUGCAGAAUUCAGUGAAUCAUCGAAUCUUUGAACGCACAUUGCGCCCCCUGGUAUUCCGGGGGGCAUGCCUGUUCGAGCGUCAUUUCACCACUCAAGCCUCGCUUGGUAUUGGGCAACGCGGUCCGCCGCGUGCCUCAAAUCGACCGGCUGGGUCUUCUGUCCCCUAAGCGUUGUGGAAACUAUUCGCUAAAGGGUGUUCGGGAGGCUACGCCGUAAAACAACCCCAUUUCUAAGGUU
rnacentral:rRNA from 1 species